rnacentral:rRNA from 1 species
AUGGGGGGCAAGCCUGAUCCAGCCAUGCCGCGUGUGUGAAGAAGGCCUUA